AAGUCGUAACAAGGUUUCCGUAGGUGAACCUGCGGAAGGAUCAUUAACACGUAUCCACGUAUCCACCCCUCGUGCACUGUUUUCACCCCUCCCUAGGGAGACUCGACAGGAGUUGGAAGGGAACUCGAGCGUUUGAAUGGGAGAAGUCUUCACCGACUCCUCAGCUCAAGUCCCCCCAUCAGCUGAGCAAUCAGCGUACAACUGGAGUCGACUCACUAGGCCACUAUUCUUCUUAUAGGAAUCUCUCUCCAUUCAAGAGAGGACUUAUAAGAUGUUUAAUACACCCCUUUCACCCCCUUUUUGCUAGUUGACUUUUUAUAUGUUGUUCUAUUUUUCGGACCUUGUGUCUGAAGAGCAGUUCACACGUUUAUUUACUUGAACGUUAAAAAAUACAACUCUUAGCAAUGGAUAUCUUGGUUCUC
rnacentral:misc_RNA from 1 species